GUGGGGAAUAUUGGACAAUGGGCGAAAGCCUGAUCCAGCCAUGCCGCGUGUGUGAAGAAGGUCUUCGGAUUGUAAAGCACUUUAAGUUGGGAGGAAGGGCAGUAAGUUAAUACCUUGCUGUUUUGACGUUACCGACAGAAUAAGCACCGGCUAACUUCGUGCCAGCAGCCGCGGUAAUACGAAGGGUGCAAGCGUUAAUCGGAAUUACUGGGCGUAAAGCGCGCGUAGGUGGUUCAGUAAGUUGGAAGUGAAAUCCCCGGGCUCAACCUGGGAACUGCUUUCAAAACUGCUGGGCUAGAGUACGGUAGAGGGUGGUGGAAUUUCCUGUGUAGCGGUGAAAUGCGUAGAUAUAGGAAGGAACACCAGUGGCGAAGGCGACCACCUGGACUGAUACUGACACUGAGGUGCGAAAGCGUGGGGAGCAAACAGGAUUAGAAACCCCGGUAGUCC
rnacentral:rRNA from 1 species